GCCGGUGAGAGAAAUCGCAGCUCCAUGGUUGAAGAAGAUUGCAGCUAUUUCUGGCGCUUAGGUUCGGUGUGAAGCAUUUGGCUGUGGUCGGUGUUCCCUGGCUCAGAUCCGUCGCUCAGUGCUGGCUUGAGGUGUUUGGUUGGUGCUGAUUUUUCUUCAUUGAUAGUUGUGGCUGACGUUUUGCUUUUAGUGCAUAAUGGGUAAGAAUACGGUGAAAGCUUCCUGGAACCUGCGAACCACGAAAGUGUUUAUUGACCUAUGCAUUGAA